AACGGCCGCGCGUAACCGCCACGGCCCCGCGCGCGACCCCGCGCGCGCCCCUCAGGCGGAGCCCCCCCCCCCACUUCCCGCCCCUCAGGGGGGGCUUCGUCCGAGGCUCCAAUUAAACCCCCGAGCCUGGUAAAACCCGGCAUUUAUCGGUGUUGUGAGGAAAUAAGGAAAGAGAACAUGAGCGUGCAGGGCGUGUUUAUAUGUGUGUUUCAGGUUCCGGGCGCACGCUUUGCUAUUUGAGCUGACUCGUGGCUGGGCUGGCCGAGCACACGCUCUUAGCCCACGGGGGAUUUAAACGAAUUGCGACUGUUUACUGCUCAGCCUUCUUUCAUGCUAAUCGAAAGUUUGGACAAAGCCAGAGAAUGGUUUUUCUCUCUGCUGCGAUGCAGGACAAUCAUUCAGAAUCAUUUGUUUCAUCGUUGCUGGAUAAAGGUUUUUUUUCCCGUUCCCAGGAACGUUCCUGUGAAGCACUGAGGGGCAGCAGGUUCCUUCCUACAGCGGAGUCCACAGACCUGAAUUUCCUGCUCCAAGAUUAUGUUACUAAACUAUAAAGGCUUUAGUAGUUCGUCAGUGUUUAAAAAGUGUCUUUUGAUACCUGACUUUUACUGACUGCUGCAGUGGAGAAGACAGGAAUCUUGCUGCAAAAUCCAACUCCAGCUCCUUGUAAACUAUAUAAACCUGUGCUUUAAGUCAGUCACUAGUGCCUGUCUAUGCUGUUGAUUUUUUUUGCCACUUGAUCUUUGGGUGGAUGUAUUUACUGUUCCUAAAUCAUAAAGAGAGUCCCCAAACUCCCAAAGGAGAGUUUCUAGAAGAUGAAAAGCCACACAUCUAUUUCAUAAAAAUGUAAAGUCAAGAAAUUAAUAAACUAUGUGAAUUAAGUUUUUCUUAAGCUCAAAGCUGACCCGAAUUAAUUUUUUUCUUUUCUUUAGAUUUUUGAUGUAAAAUCUUCAAAUCAUAAGCUUCCUGACUCAAAUUUAAAAAAAAAAAAAAUCAAAAUAAAUUAGGGGAUGCUUUAGAACUGAGAGAAGAAUCAUAAGCACAGAUUUUGGCCUGGUUUUUAGAGGGCCCACAAUCCAACAUUGUUUGGUAGUGAUGUCCUGCAAAACAUCCAUAAUCAUGCAAAACACCCAUGUGCCAUCAGUCUCUCAUGGUUUGUUGAGAUGUAGCAAGAUAUAGAAAAUAAUAUACGCAUACAUAUUUAAGAAAUGGACAACAGCUCUCUGUAGAUGUUUAUUCUACUUACAGUAACAAAAAACCUGUGAACUCCCAUAUUUUAAUGUACAGUGAUAUAUUCUGCCAUAUAAAAUACAAUUUACAGAAAUUUCUAUCAAGGAAACCUAAACAAACACACUUACUUUUUGCAUACUUUUAUGUAUGUCUUUAAAUUAGAAACAUCUCGUUAAGAAAAAAAUCUUACACCGUAGGUGAUGUUUGCAUUUCAUACCAUUUCUUUGCAUGUUACCGUUUUCCCUCGGGUUCAGAACACAGAUCAUCUCAGCCAGCAAACCCUGGAUGGACAAGGACCUCAAAGAUGCACCAAUGUGACUGUGGUGACAAACAAGCUACUGUAAUGUAAUCCUCAAGAUAAAAACUGUUUACAGGAAUCUAAUUUUACAUUUCCAAAACUAUUUUAUCAAAAAAUGAAAAUAUUUACCCGACUGUUAAUUUACACGGUCAAAUAAAUUAGCGGGGUUUCAUUUCAUACUUUAGAAUUACAUACUUGAGGACUACAUGAAAAGUAGCAUUUGGGCAUGAAAAAUGUCCCUCUUCAAUCACAACAUGAUGUACCACAAUAAUUUAAAGUUUAAUGCAGCUGUAUCUUUUUCAGUGGAGAGUUUUAUAUACACUGCCAGCCUAAGUACGGUCUAACAAAAGAACAGUAACAUUCAUUUUUUAAGAGCCCUUUUAGAAUGAAAGAGUACUUCUAGAAUGAAAAAUUCAAUCAAAUUGGGACAUUUCCUAAGUUUGUGGCAAAAUUCUGCAAAACCAAAACAAAAGCAAAAAAUGCUCUGCUAGAUCAGUUCAACUGAAGUAAGAGAUUCAGUGGCCUAUUUAACCAAAUUUUUUCCUUCCUUUAGUUUACCAAUUUAUUUGCAGUCUUCACCUUUUUCAAAUAAAUGCCAGAUGCUUUUGUAAGUUUUGCUGGUUAUAAAGGUGCUGCUCUUGUAUGUUCUUUAAUGACAGGCUUGUAAAAAUGAGAUAUUUAAAACAUCAUGAAAAAUAAACUAAGUACAACUUGUCUGCUGUACACUGAAGAGAUGGAUUCUCAAACCAAAACACCGGUAUAUAAAAGGAAGAUAGUGCACUUUAAGCUUAUAACAUUCCAUUUUCAAAUCCUCCAUCAGUCACAAGUAAUUAUUAACACUGUUCUUCUACAGUCCUUUCCUAAAUAAACGACCCUUCUGUUGUAAAAGAAACACGACAGCAACAUUUUUAAAGUGUGUGCUGUAGGAACAAUUUUGACACCAAAAUAUCACGUAAAUGGGAUGUAAAGGUAUGGCUCCUCAGGUGUGGAUUAAAUUCUCUUAUAAAAUUACAAUUCAAGUUACUGGAAAACAUAACUUUAUAAUCUUAAAAAGCAAUAUGCUCUUCUUAGACUUUUCCCAUUUCUGUACUGUAAAUGGAAACUUUAAGAUAAAGAUGCGAGUAGAAAAAACAAAAUUUCAGUACAGGUAACAUUGUGAAUUUUUAUAAGAAAAACAUUAUGCACAAAAUGCAGCAAGUGAAAGUCCAAUAUGUUCUUGCUUCUCAUCUAUCUGAUUAAUUUCAUUCACAGUUGUUCAAAAAUUGCUAACUUGUCAGUCCAUUGGGUAAGGCUAGUUUUACAACAGUAUUUUUGGAAAGGUGAGAAUAUAUACAGUAUAUACAGAAGAUGUGCAGUCCUUGCUGUGUUGCAAAAGUGGGAUAUUUGUGGGAAAUACAAUAUCAGUCAUGGUUCUAUGAUUGAUUGCUGGAAGAUGAAGCUUCAGUUUCCACUGGUUUCUGAGUUUCCUUCGGUGUUUCUGGCUUUGUCUCUUUACCAGUUUCCUUACUCUUACUCCUAUCUUUGCGAUCUUUCCCUCUUUCCCUGUCGCGAUCUCGGUCUCUCUCUCGAUCUCGUUCCUUCUCCCUGCUCCGAUCCCGGUCCCUGUCUUUCUCUCUGUCACGAUCCCUGUCUCUGCUUCUCGAUCGCUCUCUGUCACGUCUUCUGUAGGAGUCUCUCUCUCUGGUUCUUGUCCUAUCUCUGUCUCUGCUUCUUUCCCAUUCUUUACCUCGCUCUGAAUCCUUGUCUCUGUUUUGGCUCCUAUCUCUGUUUUUAUCCCAUUCCUUGUCUCUGUGUCUCUCCCAGUCCCUGUCUCUGUUCCAGUUUCUGCCACGGUCUCUUUCCCAAGGUCUGCCGUGUUCUCGAUCCCUUCGUCUGUCCUCGAAGGCUCUGCCUUGGCGAUUGUCUGCUUGCUGGGGCUCUGGCUGAUCUAAACCCUUGUCUUUAUUUCCUCCCUCAUAUCUCUGUCUCCCUUCAAAUGUCUGGCCUCUAUAUUCAGGAUUUUUGCCUUCUCGGAAGUCAGAUGCGGACCACUGUCCUUCUGACUCAGGUCCUUGUCCAGACAUAUUGGAAAGAGAUGCAGAUGGUCCAGCGUCCUCCCACAUCUCUUUUCUGUGGGUUGGUGGAUGGCUUGGAAGGUCCAGGAGUGGUCUUGGUGGUGGUUUCAUACCUUGUGGUGACUGACCCUGGAAAUGAAAUCUAGAGGGGGGAGGUUCAUCUUCCUCUGGAAACAUUGCAGGUGGGGCUCCUCUUGGUCCCCCAAACUGAUGUGGUGCUGGACCUCUCUGGUUGGAAAAUCUGGGUGGUGGGCUCCCUCUCCGUUCUUCAUACGGCUGUGGCAAAAGUCCCCUUGGACCAGGCAUAUGAUUUGGAGCUGGACCCCUCUGCCCUUCAAAUUGAUUUGGGUGAGGCCCUCUUGGUCCCCCAAAAUGACCUGGGGCUGGACCUCUUGGCCCUCCAAACUGAGGGCCUCCUCUCUGUCCUUUAAACUGAGCUGGUGGGGGUCGUCUUUGACCUCCGAAAGGAAAAGGUGAAGGUCCUCUGUUUCCCAUAAAUUGAGGGGAAUCUGGUCCUUCGAACUGUCCUGGAGGCCCCAUCAUUUCAUCAUAUUGGGAAUCUGAGAAUUCCCUUUGUUCCAUGUGAGGUUCCCUGUGAUCUUCAAAAUGAGAUGGUGACAUUCCUCUUGGACCACCAUGAUAAGGGGCAGGGCCCCUAUUAUCACCAAAAAAUGAUGAUGGUCCAUGCUGUGCAGAAAAUAAGGAAGGAAGGGGACCCUUUUGACCUCCAAAUCUUCCAGACUGAGGUCCUCUUUGCCCAUCAUUAUUUGGAAAACCGUGCUCUUCAGAGAACUGUGGUGCUGGUUCUCUAAAAUUAGGUCCAUGAGGCCCUCCAGGUGCACUGAGCAUCAGUGGAGGCCCUCCUUUCUGCCCAGACAAAGAAAACGCCAUGUUUUCCUCAAAGUGCUGUGGGGGAGGUCCACCCUCACUCUGAAUUUGUGGGGAGUCAGUCUGUUCUACAAACUGAUGAGACUGAGGAUUUCUUUGUUCAUCAUAUUGCACUGAUGAAAGACCUGUCUCUGGUUCAAAGUGACCAGGUGCCUUUUCCUGAGGAGGAAACAUUGUAUUUGAAAAGGAUUCCAUUCCCAUUGCUUCCUUUGACUCAUUUGACCACGACACUUGAUGCAUGUCUUGCAGGGAUGGGCUGUCAUUUGAUGUGGAGAAAUUAGGCUGAAAAGAUGUAGCUGGAGGUGUUGGAAGCAGCACUUUACGUACAGGUUUAGAUCCAGAAGGUUCUCCAGCAGCUGUUUGAUUCAGGUUUUCCAAAGUAACUUGAAUGGUGUGUUCAAAUUUGCUGUUAGUAGUCUCCUUCUGGGACACUGUAGAAGCCUGUUCACUUGAAACCCAAUUGUCAGCAGUAAAGCCAGGCUGAGUAGCAGAAAUUAAAGUAUUAUCUUCCUUACCAAGUGAAGUCUGCAAAGCAUUUGGAAAACUUGCUGGAGCAACUUCUCUUGUGGAUACCUCAUUCUGUACCACCUGUGGCUUUAUCCGAGAAUCAACAGUGUCAUUAGUCUCUGUCACCAUCCUUCGAGCCUGGCGAGGAUCUCUGUUCUGUCGUGGGUCACAGCCCUGGUUUAAAACUUGUGCUUGCUGAUUUAAAGAUGAAGGUAAAUCUACUUUUUGUGUAGCCUGCUGGUCCUGAUGGAAUAAUUCAGUCUUUAUUAGGGAAGCUUUCGCUGGUGGUGGUGACAUUAAAGCAUCAGACACUGAAAAAUGAGCCAUUGAAACACCAACAGCUGCUCUUUGUUGCCUGAGGGCUUCUUCUUGUUCCUCUAGUUGUCUUUUCUGUUCUUCUAUUUGUUUGUUUAACUCUUCCAACAUUUUCUGCUGUUCUACCAAGGACGAGGCUGCAGAUAAAUCAGGCACGUAUGAAGCAGGUGUUUCUGAAGAACUGUUUUUAGUGUCUGUGUACAUUUUGUUGGGUAAAUCAUCAACUGUAACUUUUGCUUCUUCCAAGAUAGUUUCGUCCUCUGGAUCAUAGGCCUCAUCCUCUAGUUCUGCUGCAUUAGAUGGCUUUUCCACAUUGUAUCGCUUUUCACUUUCACCAGUCUGCAUUUCAAAGGCUUUUUCCGGGCCGUACUCUUCCUCAGGAUCAUAUGGUCUGUCAUCCUCCUCCUCUUCUAUAGCUCUGUCCUUUGACAUCUGCCCAAACUGCUGCACAAUGGGAUCUAACAGCGGAACCGCUGACAUUCCGCCAUCAGCAGCAGCUUGGCCUUCCUGACUUGAAGACUGAACAGUUCCAGAAUCCUUGGCAAGUGGCUCAAAAGUUUUCUUCUUCCCAAAGAGGGUCUGCAGGAUGUGCUCGAGGGGUGUGGCAGUUUUGGAGGAUGCCGAGUGCGUGGCAGUGCCACUGGCAGGAGCAGCAGUUGAAACCAGCGGGGUCACAGUCGCUGUGGGUCCACUCUUAAUGGACGACAGGAUUUUUAAUACUGAAGGUGUCACUGCUGAGGUGUCUGGAAUGGGUGGGGGUGGAGGUGGAGGUGGAGGAGGAGAUCCAGGUGGUGUUGUACUCACAGACGAGUCUCCUGAAUAAAGUGUGUAUUUUGGAGCUUUCUUCUCUUGUGAAGCUGCAGCCCCUUUGGAGAACAGCGACGGCUCAGGCUCCUCAUGGGCUUGAGUUCUGCUUCGCUUCUCCUCCAUCUUUUCUGCCUCAAUGCCAGUGGCAGGACGCUUCCCUUUCUGACAGAUAACCAAUCCAAGAAUCAAAUUUGGCCGAGAUGACUCGAGACCUGAAAGGGAACAUAAAGAUUGCAUAUGUAAAUACCUGAUUUUUAAUGAUGCUUUCAGUAAAAACUUACUAUGUUAUAUAGUGGCAGCUAGAAAAGUCAUAAAAGUAACAGUUUUUCUAAAUUCCAUCAGAUCACCUAUUAGCAAUUUUUCAUUAGUCCACAUGCAUUUAUAUUUCUCUCUAUAUAUGUUUGUAUAUAAUAAGUUUAAAUUCCUUCUUUGAUAUCUUUAAUAAAAGAUUGCAACAUCAGGUAUCGUUGUUAAAAGCUAUUCCCGCAAAAGUUCAAACAAAAGGAAGUUGUUAUAUUUUUGUACUUUUACAUUGUUUCUGCUGUUCAACCACCUCCACUUCUCCCCCUGAAAAAUCAAAUAUUUAUGUUUAAAUAGUUUGCAAAUAUGCUAUAUACACAGGGAUAUUGAAAAGUGAAAAGACCUGGGUUAAACAUUGCUGUUUGUGUUAUAAUCUGUGCUAAAAGUCCACAUUGACACCAGUCUGUAAAUAUUUUGUCUGUCUCCAGGUUAAACAAAUACCAGUAAUGGCUAAAAAGAUAACAUUAAACAAACUGUGCUUGGAAACAGAGUUAAAGCUGGUAACCUACUCCCAGCUUGUUGUUUGUUUUUUUUUUUUUUCCCAGCUAGACAUUAUUUAAAAGGAGACAGAAGCAGGGAAACUCUGAUUUACCAAACAAGCACAGGAGAUGUGUUUGGUUGGGCAAUUACUGGUGUGCAGGGGUGACGUGCCCUUGGAGCCUCCACUGCAGAACACAGAGUGAUGUUAGGCCUUAAUAUCUCAGAAAAAACAUGAUGAGCAGAACUGGUCCUUUGUGAAGAGCUUCAGACUCAAAGCCCCAGAGAAGUAGAUUAAGAAAUGAUAGGAAAGUUUCUGAUAAAGAGGAAAAAUGCAAAGGUCUGUAGGCUUGUUUCCUCUAUUGCAUUUCUUCCUCUUACAUGCACAGUUCCCACUGACUCUCGUGGCAGAUAAACAUGGCUAGAACGAAGGGCAGGGAGGGAAUCCUUUAACAUGAAGUGGUGGCAAAUGUAGAAAAUCUGUACAAAGAGAGGCCUUUUUAACUUCUGGAUUUAAUGGCCUUUAGAAGGUCCUCCUUUGAGGGCCACUGUCUUUCCCCCAUAUGUGCCAUUAGUUAUUAUUUGCAUCCAGCAAGGAAGUGGUAAUACAGAAACACAAAAUAACCUGUGAAAUAAGAGAUAAUAUUCACUGUGGUUAAAUUACCAGGUGAGGGCUCUGACCUACACUGACCCUUCUAUUCAAGAUCCCAGAAGUAAGAGGUUGUUAUAUAUAUGUUCCUCGUUCUUAUUAAGCCAACUGCUCACUGAGGAAUAAUUUUAAAAUAUCUAAUUAUUAGCACUGAAAACUUUUUGAUACCAACGCAAAACCCCAAGCCCCACAGUAGCAGAUACACUCCUUUAGCAAAACACAUCACACAUACGUUACUUUGCUGAACCAACUCAAAGUUUUACGGGGACUCUUAAAUUUACCAUCUAAUGAGAAAACCACAUCAGCUGUUUUGCUAAAUUUCUGUUCCCGUUAAUGAAUAGUGACUCCCCAGUUGGUGGGUGUUGACCAGUGCAGAGUAUCUCACAAACUGGUGUUCACCCAAAAACUCCCAGUAGGCAUUUGCUGUCCUGCCAUUGUUAAUGUUUUGGUUAUUGACUUUCAUGCAGAGACCUGUGAUUUAUGCAAUUAGUUACAAUGAAUCUCAAACACUGAAUAACUGAAAUAAACAGCUUUUAAAAAUCCAUCAGGCAGGAUAUCUCAUAAACAGCAAUUACCAAGAAAUCAGGUUUGAAUCCCUGUAACAAACAGAGAUCACGUCACUAAUAAAACAGGGUAAAAUUUUAAUAUGCUUUCAAGGCAAUAAAUUCCAGGAGUAAGUUAAUACCAUUAGUUAUAAAUUAUUCUGUUUAGAAUUUAGUCAUCAUAGAAUAAAUGCAUUAAAAUUUUACAUUUUGAUAUGGGAAUUUUACACAAAUAUAGAAGUUUUGCCUAACCUAGAACCUACAUUCACUCAGUUCAAAGAGACCAAAUACUAAAUGCUUCCUGGAAUGGAGACACGCAGCCAGAGCAGCUUUCAAAGGUCAGCCCCCUUCUAUCUCAAUAUCCAUAAAUACGUUAAGUGCCUAAUUUUAGGAACAACAAGAUGUUGGCUGCAGUCUGCCACUAUUGCUCAAUGACACAUUCUAAAAGUGCUGCAAGCUGUGCUGGCAGAGUUAGAAGCUUUCAGUGCUAAAUUAUUUAUAACAGUUAUUAUCCUAUUAUGCAUUUGAAGUCCACAUGCUGGUUUUAUUGAGUUACACCCUGUAACUAAAGCCAUUAAAACAGGAUAUACUAAAUAUUAGUACUGGAUUAAUAUUUGGUUUUCUUAGCCUUAAAUGCAUUUUUUUUCAAUAUAUCAAUUUUGCCAUAUUUAUGUGUAUAUUGGCCACAUCUUUCCCUGUCACCAGCAGCUGGUAAGAAGUGACCUGCACUGUUAAAGACACACCCUCACUUCUGCCCACCCAUGACAGACCCACGGGAAUGGACUAAGCACACCUGUGGUGAGUUUUAAACUGAAGAGACCCAUACAAGACAUUGUAUUUUAUCAAUGCCAUUUAAAUCAUUUGUCCCAAUUAAUCACGGGAGCAAUGGACAACUGUCAUCAAAUUAGUGCCCCCUCAACCCAGGGCUCCAGAUCACUGCCAGCACUGACACUGCUCCACGUUCACGUUCCUUUGCUGAGUGGAACUGGCUGGCACAGAAAACCAGGUUUGUAACGCCACGUUCUUCUACUGCUGCUGCUUUUCCUAACGAGACCUGCUGAGAUGAAGACACCAAACUCCAUUCACAGUUCAGUUAAAAUUUUGGUCCUUUUGUUGCAAUUUUUAAGAGCAUUGCAAACAGCAUGAGGAGAUUUCAGGCCUUUGUACUUUAUGAAAAAACACAGUUCCUAUUGUAAACUGCCCAAAAGAUGUAUCAGCAUUUGUGGAAUCCUUUGCUGAUAAAUGGCUCUUGUAGUAAAAUUUCUCUAUUUUAACUAUGUAAGGUAGUUGUUACAUUCCCAACAUUGCCACUAAAUCCCUCAGUAAAACACUAUUAGUAAUUAAGUUUGAUUAUACUUUUUUUUACAAAUGAAAAUGCUAAAUAAAGUGUGUAUGUGAAACAGAGGAGUGAAUUCACAUACAGUAAACUACUGCAAAAAGACAGUGCAGAAGAGCCCAUGAUACAUAAAAUCUGGUAUUAAAUAUCUGAGAUUAAUUAAAUAUAAAUGAGGAUAACCUUCCAUUUUUCUCUGUUUUUCAGUCACCCAUGUCAAAGUUUUCUGCAGAUCUUCUAGGUACUAGUGCAGUUCAGAAGUCCUCAGUUGUGUUCCAAAUCCAGUCCAUUAGAAAACAGGAGAAAUUCCUAAUCCAUACUGGAACUGGCUGAUAAAGCUGGAAUAUCUUCUAACUAGGAUUUCUGGAGUGGCAGGGUUUGAUUGUCCUCUCCCUCCUCCCCCCUCAGCUCAUAUUUAUCAAACCAUCUAAAGGCAAAGCUUUUCCUUGCUAAACUCUACUGGAAGGCACACGAUUAAAUUUAAGGAGACAAUGACCACGUUCCACAAAAUAUUUUUAUUGAUUGUCAAAGAAAGAAAAAACAGUGAAUUCCAUCAGAUGUCAUUAAAAAGUGUGGAUUACAUGCUGUAGUUUUCAAACAUACACAAACCCGGAUGAACAGCUUACCUGCUUCUUUUGAUCUGGUUUUAAAACACGAACACAACUUGGCCCAGCUGUGAGGUAAAGGCAGCCAAGGGAGUUCCCAACAAGUGUGAACUGAUGUCAGAACUCUAAGUGGGUCUUCUGUGAAACUGCUCCAUCUCAUGUCCUGCCUGCCCUUGAAACCUUGUUUCUGCUGCUAGUAUUUAAUCCAUUUGGCCUACAAAUACCUAUGUCAAUUUGGAAACCUGACUCAUAAGAAACUUGGCAAAACCAGGCUGACGUUACAAAUUCCUCUACUAAGAGUAAAGUUUGGCUACACUUGCCAACCUCCAGUCUAAGGUAAAGAGUUUCAUUUGAAAUGAAAACUAUAAUGGAGAAGUAAAAGAAGUGUAAAAAGGAAAGCUGAUAUUUUCACAGGAAUGCAAGAGGCAACAAUCAGGAAAAUGUCUCCCUAAAGCAGGUUAUUUACCAGACCAGCUGACCUUUACAGCUGAUUCAAUGCCAGUCCCACCCUUGUACUACUGCCCAGAAAGGAGGGUAUUUCUUUUGUUCUGCCUGGAAAAAUCAGUCUGUUAAGACUCUACCUACAACCUUGUGCCAAGGUGUUCUGCACUUGGUGUUUUCACUUCUUGGCUAUGAAAUGGGAGUAACAGUUUUUGCCUACCUUUCAAGAUUUCUGUGAGUUACAGACUAUGAGGUGCUGAGAUUUGACAAUUCUGGCUAUACUGCUAUAAUUUAGACAGCAAUAAUCCUGCCUUUUUAGCUAUUGCCUAAAAACAACCACCUAGACUGUGCACUGCUCAAGGAUGGAUAAAACAGACUGGGAGUGUAUGAGAAAGAUCCUGUUUGAGGAUGCAGAGCAAGUGCCCUUGGCCAUUUCAUGGAGGAAGGGAGAGCACUUAACUCAUAUUUCACUUGUAAGUCAUGAAAACCUGCUCCAGCCCCUGUUUCUCCAGCAUAUAAUCUCUGAGAAUGCUUUAUUGAGUUUAGUGCUACACUUGUAUUUGAGUAGAGGACACAGCUUUCCAGAAAGAUCAGCUCCUGUAUGUUGGUUGUUUCAUACCCACCGUUUAGUGCCACCCAUUGCCACGACAAUGGAGUUCUACCUUCACUGGAACCUGCAGCUCUUCAGCUUCUCAACCUGGCAUUUUCUAUAAUCCCUCAGAUCCUUAUUUGGAAAUUAAGCAUAUGGACCUCCUCCAUCCUCGGAUGAAGAUGACUUCAAAUUUUGUAGGAGAAGGGUGUUUCAUGGUUGAAUUCAUUCUCAGUUCUUCUGUCACCAUGUUCACCAAACAUUACUAUAGGUAAUUUUAUCCAAAAAUAUAUAUGCCUAUACCAACUGCUGUCUGCCACCUACUAAUCCUAAGAAAUGGGAGUUUUUUAGUGUUUUGGGUUUUUUUUUAAUGUAGUGGCUGUUCUAUAUCCUUGAUUUUACAGGUAAACUCAUUCUCCCAACAGCCUACGGGCAUCUUGUUGGAUUUCCAGUUUCUCCUAUUUAUGUAGUUUAAAAUUGGUUUUAUAUAAAAAAAUUUAAAUAAUGCUUACAUUAAAUAUUCAACAACUUGUCUCAGAUUGCCUUUUGUUUUGUGAUUUUACCUAGCAUUUAACCUCCCCUGUUUUGUGCUUACCUGGUCCCUCAAAGGGCAAGAGUUUGGAAGGAAUUGGGUCCUUAGAACUCAGGGGGAUCAGGUAGAGAUCCUUGACAUGUCUGUUGUUAUUAGCUACAACACCAAAACGACCACGACUGCUAAAAUAGGAGUAGAGAGAGAUAUAGGCAACCUCUUCUUCUUCUGUGGCAGGAUGGAAGCGAAUCAAACACAGUUCCUGGAAUACAAAAGCAAAGUAGAAAAAACUCAACCUGCAACAUAUCAGCAAAUAAAAUGGUAAAGGACAAAUUCCAGGGGUAAAAAUGAACUGAACAUUUAUCACUCCAGUUUUGCCUUCAGGGUAACACACUGGCUUUAAGAGUCUACUCUGUUCAAUUUGUAACAUUAAAACAGAAUUAGGUGUCAUUUUCAGAAACACAAAUUACUUGUGUAUCUUACAUCAAACUAAACAGCCUGAGGCUCAAAUAAAAAAGAAAUGGAAAAAUCUUAGUUUCAUGAUUAUCUCUGUACACUGUGCAUCACUUUUUCACUUCUGAAGCGAUUUUAAUAUUAAAAUCUAUUACGUACAUUAAAUGAUAACUACCUUUCCUUUAAGAUUUCAAUUUCAAUCUUCACUAUUUUAAAUAAUAAAUAGUAUGAAGAUUUGACUACUAUGCAGGAGAGAGAGAUUAAGAAGAUUUGCAGCUCAAUUAACACAUUUCUUCAAUAAAUCAAAAAUUUAAAAGAA